rnacentral:ncRNA from 1 species
CGACCUCAGAGCAGGCGAGAUCACCCGCUGAAUUUAAGCAUAUUAUUAAGCGGAGGAAAAGAAACUAACCAGGAUUUCCUCAGUAGCGGCGAGCGAACAGGAAAGAGCCCAGCACCGAAUCCCGCGGUUCCGCCGCAGGGAAAUGUGGUGUU